UAUUAUGGUGGGCUGGGCGAGGCAGCUUCGGCUGGCCGUAACCUUGGGAGCGGUAGGACUAACCUUGUUCAGCUCACCACCCGA
rnacentral:antisense_RNA from 21 species